GCCUCGUCCGUGCCAAUCCAAACAACGCACACACGCAAACACGCUCGAGUCUCCACACACGCGCGAAACCCUAGCCCUCGCACGAAACACAUAAUAUCACACGCGCCUCCCCUCUCACUGGCCGGGCGCGCCUAGUGCUCGCCGGAAAAGCAAGCAUUUCUCGCCUUUUCAUGGCUUUCUUUGCUCCGUGAAGCUCCGGCGACUGGCCUUGAACGACCCCGGCGAUGCUCUGAUGGUCGGCACGUUUUGGUAUUAGUGGGGCGAAAUUAGGCUCUUAAAAGAGGAAAGAUGGAUCUGCUGUUUCCUACGGAGAUUUGAGGUUAGAGUGUUUUUGUGAGCUGAGAAUUUAAUUUUGUCCAGAAAAAUGGAGAUAGAGAGCGCAACUGAAGUUUAGAUUCGUCGAAAAUGAAGGUUUUACGUGAAAACUUACUCGAGAAUUUGAGACAUAGUGUGGCAAGCUGAUAUGAGAAGGUAAUUUUGAUGUUGUGAUUUUUGUUUUGGUAGAAAAGCGUAUGAUCUCGGAUGUAAAGGAGAGAGAUUUUUUCGCCCCUUUUUUUCUUGUUCGUAAAAAGUGCUAAUUUUCAUCUGAGCUCAAUGGUUCUCUUACAGUGGAAAAAUUAAGCUUUGGUUGCUGAGAAAAAGCAAGGAGAAAUAAUAAAAGAAUGGUUUUUGAGUGUUUCCAUUUAUUUACUGAAUUGGAAGAAAUAAAAAUGAGAAAAAACUGACAUAUUGUUACCGAAUGGUUUUGCUAGGGACAACGAAGUGGAGACUUUUUGUCUUCAUGACCCAUAAUAGUUAAAUGCAGUAUAGAAGGUUGAAGAAGAAGUUUCACUUUUGUUAGAACUGAAAAAAAGUGGGCUUUCUUUUCCUUUGUUUUUUUUGAACCCUUCACUACUUUUUUUGUUAUUUCUCUUCAUUUAUUUGGUUUAAUAUCUUUCUAGGCAUAAUCUGAAGUUUUGAUUCUUGUCACGUAGCUGUAGAAUCAGUGUGUUGCAGAAUUUUCUAGACUAUUUUGCUACAUUUUUGGGGGAAAAUCUUAGCUUUUCAUCUAUGUGCAUACUUGAGUGGCAAUGGUGGUGGCAUUUGUCUUAGAGAUAUUCAACUACUAGGUCUUAGUUAAGUUAAGAAGUUUGGGUAGAGAGAGAAUGGCAACAGAUAUGCAAAAAUUGAUAGGAACAAGUGAAGAAGAUGAUGAGGAAGAAAUGGACAUGGAUGUUAAAGAAGAAGACGAUGAAGAUGAAGAAAACAGAGAGAAGCAUAUUGCCACGCGAGUGAUGGUAGGGAUUGAAGGAGGGAUGGCAUCAAACAGUAGUAAUAAUCAGUUUCUACAUCACCAGCAUAUUCAAGAACAAGUUAGCACUCCAGGAGGGGGAGGAGGAACUCGGAGAAGUAGACCACUUGAAGAAAAGGAGAGAACUAAGCUAAGAGAGCGUCAUCGGAGGGCAAUCACUGCAAGGAUCUUGGCAGGUUUAAGAAGGCAUGGGAACUAUAAUCUUAGGGUUAGAGCUGAUAUCAAUGAUGUGAUUGCUGCUUUGGCCAGGGAAGCUGGCUGGGUAGUUCUACCUGAUGGAACCACCUUUCCUUCAAGAUCUCAGCAGAACUCAAGGCCAGUGGGUGGCACUUCUGCAGCGGCAACUUCAUCAUCUACCCAUCUGGUGUCACAGCAGACUCCAUCUGCUUCCCUUAGGGGAAUAUCUCCUGGUUGCCGGACCUCAGUAGAUUACAAUUCAUGUCGACUGAAAGGUGUUUUUAUGCCUACUCCAUCACCCUAUGAUCUAUCCACAAGCACUCAGUCACAAAAUUCAGCUAUGAUGGGGGAUGGAGGAGAACAAACUGAGAGUCAUCCUCUCAUUGGUGGCUCCUUGGAUACUGUCAAUGAUAAGCAGGUAGUGGACAUAUCUCCAAAGUUAGCAGAGCGAGAUUUUGGCGGCACUCCAUAUGUACCAGUUUAUGUAAUGCUACCGUUGGGUGUCGUAAAUAUGAAGUGUGAGCUGGCUGAUCCAGAUGGUCUAUUAAAACAGCUGAGGGUAUUGAAAUCUGCAAAUGUUGAUGGUGUCAAGGUUGACUGCUGGUGGGGAAUAGUGGAGGCACACGCUCCAAUGGAAUAUAACUGGAAUGGUUACAAGAGGCUCUUUCAGAUGGUGCAUGAGCAUAAACUUAAGCUGCAGGUUGUGAUGUCAUUUCAUGAAUGUGGAUGCAAUGUUGGUGAUGAUGUUUGUAUCCCUCUUCCACAUUGGAUUGCAGAAAUUGGUCGAAGUAAUCCUGACAUUUUUUUCACUGAUAGAGAGGGAAGAUGCAACCCAGAAUGUCUCUCAUGGGGAAUUGACAAAGAACGAGUGUUAAGAGGCCGAACUGCACUUGAGGUAUACUUUGACUACAUGAGAAGCUUCCGGGUAGAAUUUGAUGAAUUCUUUGAGGAUGGUCUUAUCUCCAUGGUUGAGGUUGGACUUGGUCCAUGUGGGGAGCUACGAUACCCAUCUUGUCCUGUAAAGCAUGGUUGGAGAUAUCCUGGCAUUGGUGAAUUUCAGUGUUAUGAUCAGUAUUUGUUAAAAAACCUGAGGAAGACGGCAGAAGCAAGGGGACACCCAUUUUGGGCUAGAGGACCAGAAAAUGCUGGUACCUAUAAUACCCAACCACAUGAAACCGGAUUCUUCUGUGAUGGAGGGGAUUAUGAUGGCCACUAUGGCAGGUUCUUCCUUAAUUGGUAUUCUCGGGUUUUAGUUGAACAUGGUGAUCAGGUGCUCUCUUUUGCAAAGUUGGCUUUUGAAGGCACCCAAAUUGCUGCAAAGGUAUUCACUGGUGGUACAAGACAGCCAGUCAUGCUGCAGAAUUAACUGCUGGAUUCUACAACCCAAGUAAUCGUGAUGGUUAUGCUGCAAUUGCAGUAAUGUUAAAGAAGCAUGCAGCUGCUCUGAACUUCUCAUGUUCUAAAUUGCGGAUGUUAGACCAGCAAGUGAACUUUGCGGACGCACUUGCAGAUCCUGAUGGAUUGUUGUGGCAAGUUCUGAAUGCUGCAUGGGAUGUCGACAUACCAAUUGCUAGUGAGAAUGCUCUUCCUUGCCAUGAUAGGGUUGCCUAUAACAAGAUUUUGGACAAUGCCAAGCCCCUGAAUAAUCCAGAUGGAAGACAUUUUUGGUCUUUUACAUACCUUAGGCUCAGCCCACUUCUCAUGGAGAGGCAGAACUUCAUGGAAUUUGAACGAUUUGUGAAGAGAAUGCAUGGUAUAACACUAGAAAAUUCUGUCAUUACUUGUAAAAUUUGAGUCACUGCAAGGCUGCUUAAUUUAUCCAAUUACCUAGUUUGAACAUAUAUGUGGCAGGAAGGGAACUAAUUCCCAAUAAUAAGGUUGAAAAAGAGCAUGAUUAAUUAGAAGGAUCACUAAUUCUUUUCCUUGGGAUUCACUGGUUUGAUAUGGUCUGCUCUAUCCUUUAAAAGAAAAGUUAAAUCCCAGACUUGCAUGCUAUGUUGCACAAAAGGAGAAGACUUCAUUUUCAUGCAUGUCCUUUAGCUGAAUCAGAUGAAUAAACUUCACGAAUAAUUCUCUUUCAAAGCCAUACAAUUCUACCUAAGGUGUAAUUUUUUUGCAUGGAACACAAGCCUUUUUAAUUGAUAGUGACCCGCGUGUUUCAUUAUUAAUGCUUUCUGAUUCAUGCUUCGGCAUCUGAGAAUAGAAUUAGAAUUAGAAUUAGAAUGGUAGGUAAACAUUAUUAGUCUCCAUAUAGUUUGUUUUAGAUCACUCUGGUUGAUGUGUUGCAUUUUCACUGCAGGAGAAGCAGUUCUUGAUCGCCAAGUAUAGCAGGAGGAAACCCAUCUAUAAUUGUGCAGUAUUUAUUUUUCCCCACAAAAUAGCUGGGGUAGCACUAGCAUGUUGCAAAUUAGGUGAUGGUAUUCAACUCAAUCCUGAAUUAGUGAGGAUCAACAAUCCCUUUUUUACUUUUAGAUGAAGUAACACCUCUGUAAAUGAAAUCACAAACUCACCGCAGUCAGGCUCUUAGAUCCAAGUUUCUUGACAUGCUUGCUUAUUAACUUAGGUUAAACUGUUUGAAGGUGUCAAAAUCUAAUUGAGUAAUUGUUUAUGUUACAUAAUUUAUGUACGAUUCAGAAAUUUUGAGAUCAUCAAUCAGUGCAAAAGUUUGUGUCAUCUGCUCAACUUGAAUAACCUUUAUCAUUUCUUCUUUCCUUCAAUAUACUUGUUUUAAUGGGCAGGAUCGUACAUUCCAAGUUACUGAAGUGUAGGGAUGCUCUAUUUUAUUGUGUGUUUUUUGGGGGGUCAUUUCCCCCUUUCUUUUAACCUGAAUUAUUCAAUUGUAAAGCUGACAAUUGCACAUGCCAUGGGGAUUCAAAUUAGAUCUUCCCCAAAACUGGUUAAUAAAUGAAUCAAUGAUAUUUGCAGGCUUAAUUACAACAGUGGAACAUUUUGAGGUCUAUGAGACUGGCUUCUUGAACACCAUGUGACCUGAUUCGUCCACAUCAAAAAGACGGUCUAUAAAAUUAUCCCAACGUUCCCUUAUUUUCUUGAAUGACAAUAAUGAAAUUCCUCCACUUGAGCUGCCAGAAGUCUCCCCUUCUUCCAAUACAUGAAAAGUUCCAUAUGGAGAAGAUGAGUAGGCUUGUGGAAUGUCUAAAGCAACAGCUCUCUGAAGAGCUGCCUCAUACUCCUCACUAUGUUCUCGUGCUAUAAAUUCCUGUCGCUCCAUCUGCUGCUGUGCUGGAAUCCUCAUGAUCUGAUCUUUCUCCAGCAUCAACUGAACACAACAAAUGGUGAUGUUUCAAUUCUGUUGUAAAAAUAUAAGUUAAUUCUCAAUCUUCAACCAUCUAAAUUAACUAGUUUAGUUGACCAGGAAGACAAAGAUGUGAACCUAUUUCUGUAGCUGGUAAAAAAAAAAAUCUAAAUAAAACGGGACGGCACAAACAUGUAAAUCUCAUCAAUUGACGCAGAGCAGCAGUGGCAGCAAUCAGUACUAUUAAAAUCUGACAAGUCAUUUGCUCAGCUACUUGGAAAUGUUUCCUGCCUAUAAAGUUGCCAUAGAAAAUGAAGUAAAAUAUAAAUCGUCUUAUAGUCUCCAUAGCUGAAAGCUUGAAAAUCUAAGUAAUGGGCACUUAAGAAUAACAGAAAACGAAAUAUGGCUAUGACAUCAACAAAGUCCUAAAAUUGACAACACCAGGGAAAGCACAUGCCUGCACUCUCAAGGAUUUAAUCAGAAACUUCUUUCUCAAUUUGUGUAAGGAUUUUUGUCGGAAAGUUGCCAGAAAUUGGCUUAAAAAUAUAUUGUGGUUGCGCUUCUAUUUCAGCUCCCUAAAAGUCAUAAACAAGCUGAUUUUAUUUGUGUGAAGAUGAAAUUAAGCCAGGAUUUAAAAUUCAAUGAACUCCUCAAAACCAGAUCAGUAUGAUCCAGACCCCAGAAUUACCAGGUCUCAUCUCUCACCUAGAUAAAGACAGGAACUUACAUCAAGAGCCCUUCGACAUUCCCUCUCUAUCCACAGAAUGGCAUGGUCAGAGGUUGCGUUACACGAAAGAACUAUGUGCUCAAAUCUCCCAUCUACAGGGACUGCUGUCCUGACAACUGGGGGAAAUCUUCCUAUCCUGAGGGGCUUUCUCUCAACAAUGUGGUACAGGCGGCCAGGUGCAUAAAGCCUUCUUGGGUCUCUAAGCAUCUUCUCCUCAAGAGUGCACGUGUCCUUCAAGCACAUUAGGCAUAGUAGACAAGGCAAACAUAAAAGUGAUUUGAAAACAUCUUCCAAAGCAGUGGUAGUCCGUGGUAAGAAAUCAUCCUGUAACACAACAGAAUUGAUAACAUCAGCAUAUCUCACAGCCAAAUUCAGUGACAUGCAUCUAGCUGGAGCCAUGGCAAAGCAUCUGAUCCUCUUCCUCUCAAUAUUCCCCAAUCUAUUCCUAUUCUUAAUUACAUAUAUCACCAUCAGUGCCACCACUCCUGCCCCUAAAGAAUGCCCUGCAAAAGUCAAUUUAUAAUCUGGAUUCAUCUCAACCAAAUCCCUCAAAACCUCACAUUCUGUAUCAAAAACCCAUUUUGCAGCCUUCAAUAGCCCAUUGUGCACAUAACCACCAUCAAACUUAGUCUGACCCAAUUUAUUAUCAAGCAAAACAGCAUAGUCACUUUCCUUUGCCAAAUUAAGCCCUCUAAUAGCCAAAACUAUAUCAGCAUUUUCAUGAUCAAGGUAAAUCAAAUAAGGAGUUACAUGUCCUCCUGUUUCUUCAUGAUUUUUCCUCAAAACGAUCCAAUCAGGAUUGAUGCCAUAGCCUACUGGGGGUGCCCAAAGUGGGUUUCGAAGAUCAUCUUCAUAGACAGACAGAAUUAGGCGACAAAGGCGGGGAAUAGGCCCAAAUUCUUCAGCUGUGGCUAGGCCCCAGUUCUCACUUUCAUGUCCUGCAUUAUACAGGCAUUUCUGCCACACCCAACGAGCACAUGCCAAGCAAUACAGACAUUCAACGAUUGGAAGGCCACAGACGAUUGACAUCGAGGCCUAUGAUUCAAGCAUGUUCACAUUUAUGUUAAGAACAAUGGCUCGAAAAAGAAAACACCGUGAAAAAAAAAUGCAUAAAUAAAUACUGGGUUUGAAACUAGAACCAAUAUUCCAAGGGAAUACAGUAAUGAACAACGCAAAUUUGUGAUUGGGGCCUUCACAGAAAAAAAAAAGAGUGCUGAUUAAACGCAAGGGUAAAAACACAAAAUUGAAGAUUUGGAACUGAAAGAAACGAAGGUUGUGGAAUUUUAGAACUAAAACGAAAAAGGAUUUAAUUACAUACCUCUUAAGAGAUUUUAUGAAACAAGAAAGCGAAGAUCAUCAUAAGCUCAAGUGUUUCAUAAGCAAACAAUUAGUGGAAACAAGUAAGAAAAGCACUAGAAAACACUAAUCAGCAUCUGGAAUCAGAAUAAGACAGGGUAUUUAGUUGGUGUCUGGUGGGCACUUGAGCUGCAAAAAUUUGGGUUCUUUGGAGCUUUCAAUUGAAAUUUCAUUUAUUAGAUGAAAAUUAAUAAAAGUGAUUCGUUAAAGAAAAAGAAAAGGAUGAAACUUUCAUAAAAAAUAAGCGUAGUUUAUAGAGAGAAAAACCAGAGCUAGUCAGACCCAUUUCCCUUCUAAGUUGGCCUCCCCAAGAAUCUUCUAUAUCUAAUGCUUAGAUUCCCUGUCCUUUGUUCGAUCAUUGGAGUCUCUCUUUGACGCCG
rnacentral:misc_RNA from 1 species